rnacentral:rRNA from 1 species
CCUACGGGUGGCAGCAGUGGGGAAUAUUGGGCAAUGGGCGAAAGCCUGACCCAGCAACGCCGCGUGAAGGAUGAAGGCUUUCGGGUUGUAAACUUCUUUUUACAGGGAAGCGCAUAAGACGGUACCUGUCCAAUGAGCCACUGCUAACUACGUGACAGCAGCCGCGGUAAUAAGUAGGUGGCAAGCUUUGUCCGGAUUUGCUGGGUGUAAAGGGCGUGUAGCCGGGCUGAGAAGUCGGAUGUGAAAUACGGGGUCUCAACCCCCGAAGUGCAUUUGAAACUGUUGGUCUUGAGUAGCGGAGAGGCAGGCGGAAUGCGUAGUGGAGCGGUGAAAUGCGUAGAUAUUAGGAGGAACACCAGUGGCGAAGGCGGCCUGCUGGAGGACAACUGACGGUGAGGCGCGAAAGCGUGGGGAGCAAACAGGAUUAGAUACCCGGGUAGUC